rnacentral:rRNA from 1 species
UGGGGAAUUUUGGACAAUGGGGGCAACCCUGAUCCAGCGACGCCGCGUGGAGGACGAAGGUCUUCGGAUUGUAAACUCCUUUUAGAGGGGAUGAAUGGCCUGGUGAAUAGCCAGGAAUGACAGUACCCUUUGAAUAAGCCACGGCUAACUACGUGCCAGCAGCCGCGGUAAUACGUAGGUGGCAAGCGUUACUCGGAAUCACUAGGCGUAAAGCGCAAGCAGGCGGUUCGGUAAGUCUUUUGUGAAAGCUCCCGGCUUAACUGGGAGAGGUCAAAGGAAACUGCCGGGCUUGAGUAUGGUAGAGGAAGCUGGAAUUCCCGGUGUAGCGGUGAAAUGCGUAGAUAUCGGGAGGAAUACCUAUGGCGAAAGCAGGCUUCUGGGCCAUUACUGACGCUGAGUUGCGAAAGCUAGGGGAGCAAACAGGAUUAGAUACCCCCGUAGUCC